rnacentral:rRNA from 1 species
UACAGAGGGUGCGAGCGUUAAUCGGAAUUACUGGGCGUAAAGCGUGCGCAGGCGGUUUGUUAAGACAGAUGUGAAAUCCCCGGGCUUAACCUGGGAACUGCGUUUGUAACUGGCAAGCUAGAGUGUGGCAGAGGGGGGUGGAAUUCCACGUGUAGCAGUGAAAUGCGUAGAGAUGUGGAGGAACACCGAUGGCGAAGGCAGCCUCCUGGGCCAGCACUGACGCUCAUGCACGAAAGCGUGGGGAGCAAACAGG